rnacentral:rRNA from 1 species
CAGUAGCCGCGGUAAUACAGAGGAUGCAAGCGUUGUCCGGAAUUAUUGGGCGUAAAGGGCUCGCAGGCGGUUUCUUAAGUCUGAUGUGAAAGCCCCCGGCUCAACCGGGGAGGGUCAUUGGAAACUGGGAAACUUGAGUGCAGAAGAGGAGAGUGGAAUUCCACGUGUAGCGGUGAAAUGCGUAGAGAUGUGGAGGAACACCAGUGGCGAAGGCGACUCUCUGGUCUGUAACAGACGCUGAGGAGCGAAAGCGUGGGGAGCGAACAGGAUUAGAUACCCCAGUAGUCCCUGUCUCUUAUAC